rfam:Roseburia sp. CAG:18 genomic scaffold, scf253
UUCUCUUGCAUUUUAGAGGCUGUUGGAAUUUUUUCGAUUUUCAGCAAGCCUCGUACAUGGAUGUACGAGGCAGGUGGUCACUGAGCCCGGAAGGCGAAUGACCACCGGUUGCGUCCGCCUGAUAAUAAUUGAAAUAAAAAUUCCUACAGCCUCUUAAUUGCAAGGAGC